UACAGAGGUCCCAAGCGUUGUUCGGAUUCAUUGGGCGUAAAGGGUGCGUAGGCGGCGCGGUAAGUCGGGUGUGAAAUCUCGGAGCUUAACUCCGAAACUGCAUUCGAUACUGCCGUGCUUGAGGACUGGAGAGGAGACUGGAAUUUACGGUGUAGCGGUGAAAUGCGUAGAUAUCGUAAGGAAGACCAGUGGCGAAGGCGGGUCUCUGGACCGAUACUGACGCUGAGGUGCGAAAGCGUGGGGAGCAAACAGG
rnacentral:rRNA from 1 species